UGCCCUUUCAGAACCGGCGCUGAGAAAUUCUGGCUGUGCCUGACCUUGCGGAUUAUGGCAACUGCAACUUCAAAUUCUCUGAAGGGCACCAGAUGUUUCUGAAAGGUCAUCU
rnacentral:lncRNA from 1 species